AAUGUUGAAUAGCUUCCUUCACAAGCUGCUCAAGUGCAGGAAUUUGGCUGCUGAGCUUGCUUUUCUCUAGCUUCUGUAGCUGAGGCAGUGUCAUUAAUGGAAACCGAACAAAAGGCAGGAAAAUUUCUAAUGACGAGAGUCUCUCCCUAAAGAUUUGCUCAGGUGUUGAAUAACUCAGGAGCUCAUCUACUGCAGCCCAGCCACAG
rnacentral:misc_RNA from 1 species